CCUACGGGGGGCAGCAGUGGGGAAUAUUGGACAAUGGGGGCAACCCUGAUCCAGCCAUGCCGCGUGUGUGAAGAAGGCCCUCGGGUUGUAAAGCACUUUCAGUGAGGAAGAACGCCUGGUGGUUAAUACCCAUCAGGAAAGACAUCACUCACAGAAGAAGCACCGGCUAACUCCGUGCCAGCAGCCGCGGUAAUACGGAGGGUGCGAGCGUUAAUCGGAAUUACUGGGCGUAAAGCGCGCGUAGGUGGCUUGAUAAGCCGGUUGUGAAAGCCCCGGGCUCAACCUGGGAACGGCAUCCGGAACUGUCAAGCUAGAGUGCAGGAGAGGAAGGUAGAAUUCCCGGUGUAGCGGUGAAAUGCGUAGAGAUCGGGAGGAAUACCAGUGGCGAAGGCGGCCUUCUGGACUGACACUGACACUGAGGUGCGAAAGCGUGGGUAGCAAACAGGAUUAGAUACCCCAGUAGUA
rnacentral:rRNA from 1 species